AGCGUGUGCUAUCCAUAAAUGUGUCCCUGCCUGUGCAAAAUGUCCUACAAAUGACUUUUCUUAACUUCUUUACCGGUUGCAACUGACUCAAGGUCCGGAAGACGGAGUUUUAUUAAAAGAAGCUGGUAGCAGGAAAGAUUGAAGAACAAGGUCAUAGACUCGCAAUACUGUGGGGAAUUUCCGUUUGUGGGCAACUAGUUACUUGGGUCUCUGCCAUAAAAACAGCUACUUAUCCUUUGGAGCUGAUUAACAGUAUUUAUCACGAACUCUUUCAACCGGUGGGAGAUACGAUGGAAAAGGAUUUUAAUUGACUCAGAGAGGUGUUUUGAACGACUAGCAAAGUGGCCCUGCUAAAAAAUGGGUGUCAUACGCGAACUGACGGGCACGCUUGAGUGGAAUCCUCACGAUUUUUAAUGAGCUUAGACAGAUCAUAAUCCAGUUAAGAAAGAUGUUUUGUUUUUCUUGAGCGAUUUCGUAACUUUAAAGUCAGGUUUCAAUUUGGUACACGUCAGAAUCGAGAUCUAAAAAUUACUUCGAAUACCUCCCUCUCGCCCGAUCAACGUAGUUCAUUUGAUGACUUGGUGACGGCCGACUCGGACACAUCGAUAGACAGGGAGCCUUGCAGGAGGUCCCCACGACAUUUGUUGAUCUUUUUAAAAUGCCGAAUUACUCGUUAAUCAGUUUGGGGCUUUAACCAACAAUAAAACCAGUAUGUGUUUCGUUUAGCAUCUGAAAAAUGCGAGAACUAGGUGUUGAUACUUAAUUCAAGACACCCCCACAAACAACAUGCUGUGUACGUAAACUCUUUGUUCGUUUCUCAGCCGACAGUCCUCGCAGAUUAGGUGGUCUGUGUUCCUAAUAAUUGUUUUUGCUGUUGCUGCUUUGGAAAAAGUUCAAUACUUUUUUGUUAUUUUCAGACUAUCUGUUUCACGUCAUGAUAAAGGUUCAUGAAUGCUGUUGCAAUAAUUGUCAUUAGUGGGCGAUAAAUAGCUUGUUUAAGCAUGUUUCUUUGUUUCCGGAUUAACUUAGUUUCUGCUCAUAAACGUUCAGUUUUGAAAAAUACAACAUCACGAGUAAUGUUAAGUGUCCGAUUUCUUAAAUUGUUUAGGAAAAGAACAUGGCAAUCCUGCAUGCCUGGAUGAAUAUUUUCAAGGGGCACAUGGACGCAUCCGGGGUCAGCGCAAAGUAGGCAAUUUAGUUGUGAUGUACGUCACAGCCUUAACAAAGACCUUUUCUAUGGAAACCAACUCUUCAG